rnacentral:rRNA from 1 species
CCGAGUAAACGGCGGCCGUAACUAUAACGGUCCUAAGGUAGCGAAAUUCCUUGUCGGUUAAAUACCGACCUGCAUGAAUGGCGUAACGAGAUGGGAGCUGUCUCAACCAGAGAUUCAGUGAAAUUGUAGUGGAGGUGAAAAUUCCUCCUACCCGCGGCAAGACGGGAAGACCCCGUG